AGAGUUUGAUCAUGGCUCAGAUUGAACGCUGGCGGCAUGCCUUACACAUGCAAGUCGAACGGCAGCACGGGAGCAAUCCUGGUGGCGAGUGGCGAACGGGUGAGUAAUACAUCGGAACGUGCCCUGUCGUGGGGGAUAACUAGUCGAAAGAUUAGCUAAUACCGCAUACGACCUGAGGGUGAAAGCGGGGGACCGUAAGGCCUCGCGCGAUAGGAGCGGCCGAUGUCUGAUUAGCUAGUUGGUGAGGUAAGAGCUCACCAAGGCGACGAUCAGUAGCUGGUCUGAGAGGACGAUCAGCCACACUGGGACUGAGACACGGCCCAGACUCCUACGGGAGGCAGCAGUGGGGAAUUUUGGACAAUGGGGGCAACCCUGAUCCAGCAAUGCCGCGUGUGUGAAGAAGGCCUUCGGGUUGUAAAGCACUUUUGUCCGGAAAGAAAUCCCCUGGGAUAAUACCUCGGGGGGAUGACGGUACCGGAAGAAUAAGCACCGGCUAACUACGCGCCAGCAGCCGCGGUAAUACGUAGGGUGCGAGCGUUAAUCGGAAUUACUGGGCGUAAAGCGUGCGCAGGCGGUUUUGUAAGACAGGCGUGAAAUCCCCGAGCUCAACUUGGGAAUGGCGCUUGUGACUGCAAGGCUAGAGUAUGUCAGAGGGGGGUAGAAUUCCACGUGUAGCAGUGAAAUGCGUAGAGAUGUGGAGGAAUACCGAUGGCGAAGGCAGCCCCCUGGGACGUCACUGACGCUCAUGCACGAAAGCGUGGGGAGCAAACAGGAUUAGAUACCCCGGUA
rnacentral:rRNA from 1 species